UACCAGCUCUCCGAGUUGUAGGGAUGAUUACUGGGCUUAAAGCGUCCGUAGCUGGCUUAGCAAGUCUCCUGUUAAAUUCAGCGACCUAAUCGUUGAGCCGCGGGAGAUACUACUAGGCUAGGAGGCGGGAGAGGUCGACGGUACUUUCGGGGUAGGGGUGAAAUCCUAUAAUCCCGGGAGGACCACCAGUGGCGAAGGCUGUCGACUAGAACGCGCUCGACGGUGAGGGACGAAAGCUGGGGGAGCGAACCGGAUUAGAUACCCGGGUAGUCCCAGCUGUAAACUAUGCGGGCUAGGUGUUGGGGUGGCUACGGGCCACUUCAGUGCCGCAGGAAAGCCAUUAAGCCCGCCGCCUGGGGAGUACGGCCGCAAGGCUGAAACUUAAAGGAAUUGGCGGGGAGCACCACAAGGCGUGAAGCUUGCGGUUC
rnacentral:rRNA from 1 species